rnacentral:rRNA from 1 species
UACGGAGGGGGUAAGCGUUGUUCGGAAUUACUGGGCGUAAAGGGCUCGUAGGCGGCCAACUAAGUCGGACGUGAAAUCCCUCAGCUUAACUGGGGAACUGCGUCCGAUACUGGAUGGCUUGGAUUUGGGAGAGGGAUGCGGAAUUCCAGGUGUAGCGGUGAAAUGCGUAGAUAUCUGGAGGAACCCCGGUGGCGAAGGCGGCAUCCUGGACCAACACUGACGCUGAGUGAGCGAAAGCCAGGGGAGCAAACGGG